rnacentral:rRNA from 1 species
GAUGAACGCUGGCGGCGUGCCUAAUACAUGCAAGUCGAGCGAACGGACGAGAAGCUUGCUUCUCUGAUGUUAGCGGCGGACGGGUGAGUAACACGUGGAUAACCUACCUAUAAGACUGGGAUAACUUCGGGAAACCGGAGCUAAUACCGGAUAAUAUUUUGAACCGCAUGGUUCAAAAGUGAAAGACGGUCUUGCUGUCACUUAUAGAUGGAUCCGCGCUGCAUUAGCUAGUUGGUAAGGUAACGGCUUACCAAGGCAACGAUGCAUAGCCGACCUGAGAGGGUGAUCAGCCACACUGGAACUGAGACACGGCCCAGACUCCUACGGGAGGCAGCAGUGGGGAAUCUUCCGCAAUGGGCGAAAGCCUGACGGAGCAACGCCGCGUGAGUGAUGAAGGUCUUCGGAUCGUAAAACUCUGUUAUUAGGGAAGAACAGAUGUGUAAGUAACUGUGCACAUCUUGACGGUACCUAAUCAGAAAGCCACGGCUAACUACGUG